UACGGGAGGCAGCAGUAGGGAAUAUUGGGCAAUGGGCGAAAGCCUGACCCAGCAACGCCGCGUGAAGGAAGAAGGUCUUCGGAUUGUAAACUUCUUUUAUGAGGGACGAAGGACGUGACGGUACCUCAUGAAUAAGCCACGGCUAACUACGUGCCAGCAGCCGCGGUAAU
rnacentral:rRNA from 1 species